rnacentral:lncRNA from 1 species
UUUAUUUGAAAAGUAACUAGUAUUAAAUUAAAAAAAUUUCAAAUUGUUUUUAAAAAUACUGACAGUGCCUUAAUUUCCUGCUUUCUACCUCUUUACCUCCCAAACAAAACCACCGUGACCCUUCUCUCUCGCUCUCAGACAAACACAGAAUCAUCUCUUUAAAUUGAAAGUGCAAAACUUAUUUCCCUUUACGUUACAUGCACUUAAAAUCUCCUUUCUUGAUUUUAACGACUCCAAAAUCUAGUCCUUAUUUUGUUGGUAUGGUUCACUCCUGACUGCUUAAACUCGAAUUAACUGCUACUCUUGCAUUCCUGAAAGAACAAUAAAACUAUGGUUCUUUAUGAUUCUUUGUUGUUUUGGAGCUGUAUUACUACGUGUUUAAUUAGAACUGGGGUUACAGGUUGUGGGUUCAUGUGAUUCUAGUAGAAACUUUUUUUGUUUUUGGGUUUUUGUGGGGUUCUUAGGUUAUAUGAAUGUUGAGGGUUGGUGAAUCGAAGAUUUGGAGUUUUUUUUUUCCUUUUUUUUAAAAAAAAUUUGGAGGUUUUAAAUUUAUCUUUUGGAAGAUUUGAUGGAAACCCAGUUUGUUUAAUUGUGGUUUUGUGGCGCUGGUUUAGUAGUUUUUUUGGGGGGAUUUUUUUUAUCUGUUUUGGUUAUGAAUUUUGAUAAGCAGCAAUAGAACUCGAGAAAAGGGCAACAAGGGGAUGGUAGUUUUGACUCGAGAAAGAGAGAAAAGAAUGUUGUGAGGAGUUAAGACUUUUUUGAUGCACCUCAAUGGAGUUUGUAGGUUAAGAUCUGCUGCUCUUGUUUGAGAUUUCAAGGGCAAAGAUAUUGAAUUGUGACCUUUUUUUAAGAAUGUGAUAAUUGCAUUGCUAUUUGAGGCAGUCAUUUUAAAAUGCAGAUAUAAAGGAUAUUA